rnacentral:rRNA from 1 species
AACGAACGCUGGCGGCAUGCCUAACACAUGCAAGUCGAACGAGACCUUCGGGUCUAGUGGCGCACGGGUGCGUAACGCGUGGGAAUCUGCCCUUGGGUUCGGAAUAACAGUUAGAAAUGACUGCUAAUACCGGAUAAUGUCUUCGGACCAAAGAUUUAUCGCCCAGGGAUGAGCCCGCGUAGGAUUAGCUAGUUGGUGAGGUAAAGGCUCACCAAGGCGACGAUCCUUAGCUGGUCUGAGAGGAUGAUCAGCCACACUGGGACUGAGAUACGG